rnacentral:lncRNA from 1 species
GGGAAUCCUCUGGCUCCGAGUCUUUCACAUUCUCCAGGCGCCAGCUCAUCUCCACUCUUCCAAAGUGCUCUAUCAGGAGUGGCAGUUCUAUCAGUGUUCAGAUACAGUCCUUCCUGAGAUCUCAUUCUUGUUUAUUUUUGCCUUUUCAUUUUCUAGGUACUAUUUCUCAAAGUGCAGUUUUUAGUUUCGAUGAAAUGUAUUAUGUCUGUUUUAUUAUUUUUAUCCAACCUAGGAAACCUUUUCCCAACACAAAAUCACCAAGAUUUUAUGUCUUAGAUGUACUAGGUUUUGCAUUAAGGGGUGUCAUAUAGUGUGGAGAUAAACUGUGGUUCUGUGGUUCUUUUUGGCAUAAGGCUUUCCUAUUGCUACAGCACUAGAUAUUGAAGCGAUGACUCGUGUCUGUUUCGUAUGUAUGUGUACAUUUGUUUCUGGAAUCACCUUUGUGUUGUAUUAAAAGCAUAAAGAUAUCUUUUAAAUACAUUGUUAGUUACUGUCCAAUAAUGUUUUAAAUUAGUAAUAUGAGACUUUUACAAUAAAUGUAAUGGU